rnacentral:rRNA from 1 species
ACGCUGGCGGCAGGCCUAACACAUGCAAGUCGAGCGGUAGGGAGAAGCUUGCUUCUCUUGAGAGCGGUGGACGGGUGAGUAAUGCCUAGGAAUCUGCCUGGUAGUGGGGGAUAACGUUCGGAAACGGACGCUAAUACCGCAUACGUCCUACGGGAGAAAGCAGGGGACCUUCGGGCCUUGCGCUAUCAGAUGAGCCUAGGUCGGAUUAGCUAGUUGGUGAGGUAAUGGCUCACCAAGGCGACGAUCCGUAACUGGUCUGAGAGGAUGAUCAGUCACACUGGAACUGAGACACGGUCCAGACUCCUACGGGAGGCAGCAGUGGGGAAUAUUGGACAAUGGGCGAAAGCCUGAUCCAGCCAUGCCGCGUGUGUGAAGAAGGUCUUCGGAUUGUAAAGCACUUUAAGUUGGGAGGAAGGGCCAUUACCUAAUACGUGAUGGUUUUGACGUUACCGACAGAAUAAGCACCGGCUAACUCUGUGCCAGCAGCCGCGGUAAUACAGAGGGUGCAAGCGUUAAUCGGAAUUACUGGGCGUAAAGCGCGCGUAGGUGGUUUGUUAAGUUGGAUGUGAAAUCCCCGGGCUCAACCUGGGAACUGCAUUCAAAACUGACUGACUAGAGUAUGGUAGAGGGUGGUGGAAUUUCCUGUGUAGCGGUGAAAUGCGUAGAUAUAGGAAGGAACACCAGUGGCGAAGGCGACCACCUGGACUGAUACUGACACUGAGGUGCGAAAGCGUGGGGAGCAAAC